AACGUAGGUGGCGAGCGUUAUCCGGAUUUACUGGCGUAAAGGGUGUGCAGGCGGGCUGUUAAGUGGUGCAUGAAAUCUCCGCGCUUAACGUGGAGAGGCUGUGCCAGACGUGGCAGUCUAGAGGUACGAGAGAGGGUUGUGGAAUUCCGGGUGUAGUGUGAAUGCGUAGAGAUCCGGAGGAACACCAGAGGCGAAGGCGGCAACCUGG
rnacentral:rRNA from 1 species